UUUACUAAAUAAUUUUUGGAGUGACAAAACAAGUUUAAAUUAUACCAAAUAUCAUGAAUUUUAUAGUAGAUUUUGUAACGUCUCGAAAUUUAGGUAAAUUUAAAUUAAUUCAUGAAAUUAUUCGUUUCUUUAAUAAGGCCAAAGUUUAGGCAACUAAAUAAUUUGUGGGGUUGUUAUAUUUAUUUAUUUAUUUAUUUUUUUUUUUUGUUUUGUUUUGUUUUACCUUUUUUAAGAGGAAUUAGGGUUAAGGGUUUGGUUAUUUUAAAAAGGGGACCUCGGGAUGUGUGUAGUAAAGAAAAAAAUAGAAAAGGGAAAAUCUUCUUCUUCUUCUUCUCCUAGCCGCACGCCUCUCUCUCCAAGUCUUCUUCUCCCAGCCGGUCUUCUUCUUCUAGCCGCGCGAUGAGCCCGCCGCCUAGCUGUAGUCGUCGUCGACUGUGCACCAAGAGGCAUCGCCGUUCGAGUCGUGCUGCCAACUGUCAUUCUCUGUCGCACUUGCCAUCGCCGCCCCAGGCAUGUGCCGUGACUGUCUCCGUCGACCUCAGUCGCGUUCGCUGUCGCCGUAAGACGCGAGCCACGUCAUCUGCAGCUACGUUCUACAAUCGUCGUCAGGGCUGUUGACAUCUGCGGCAGUGGUUGUCCAAACAGUGUCGAGCCUACUCGUAUGGCCUCUGUUCGCGCACUGUGGGGAGACUGAGGUGCAGGUUCUAUGGCGUUGUAGCAGCCACCAAAGUCUUCAUUGGUUCUUUUUGGCAAGUUUUGGGGGGCUUUGACUCAAGCCUUUGCUAAUUUAGGAGGGAGUUUCAGGUAUUCGUUUUCUUUUGCGUGGGCCUAAACCCAAGGUAAGCGAUUUACUAACGGUUCGCCCUCGAACCUAAGCAUGUGUACCAUUGGUUCUAAUUGGAAUAUAAUAUUUUGAUAUGUUUGUUUA